rnacentral:lncRNA from 1 species
AGCUUUGCACAUCUCCAGGUCAGACCUAUCCUAAUAUCUACAUCUACAUUUCCAGAAAAUUUGAGAAGCAAUGGGCAUCCUGAAGCUGCAAGUAUUUCUCAUUGUGCUCUCUGUUGCAUUGAACCAUCUGAAAGCUACACCCAUUGAAAGUCAUCAGGUGGAAAAGCGGAAAUGCAACACUGCCACAUGUGCAACGCAGCGCCUGGCAAAUUUUUUAGUUCAUUCCAGCAACAACUUUGGUGCCAUUCUCUCAUCUACCAACGUGGGAUCCAAUACAUAUGGCAAGAGGAAUGCAGUAGAGGUUUUAAAGAGAGAGCCACUGAAUUACUUGCCCCUUUAGAGGACAAUGUAACUCUAUAGUUAUUGUUUUAUGUUCUAGUGAUUUCCUGUAUAAUUUAACAGUGCCCUU